CCCUUAGAUGUUCUGGGCCGCACGCGUGCUACACUGAGUGGAUCAGCGGGUCAGGUUGCGCGAAAGUGUUUCCUAAUCUUUAAAUCCGCUCGUGAUGGGGAUUGACGAUUGCAAUUUUCCGUCAUGAACGAGGAAUACCUUGUAAGCGCGGGUCAUCAUCCCGCGCUGAAUACGUCCCUGCCCUUUGUACACACCGCCCGUCGCUCCUACCGAUUGAGUGGUCCGGUGAGGCUUUGGGAUCUGAGCGGAAAGAGCGUUUCGCUGUUUCUGCCCGGAAAACUCAGUCGAACCUUAUCAUUUAGAGGAAGGAGAAGUCGUAACA
rnacentral:rRNA from 1 species